rnacentral:piRNA from 1 species
GGUUUUAAACUUUAGGUUAAU